CCCGCCGCCUCCUCGCCGGCGGUUCAGGAGUAAAACAUUUUUAUAAUCAGGCGUUAUUGUUCGCCGCCUCCUUGCGGGAGAUGCGCCCAUGUUCAUUUUUUAAAAAGGGCAAAUCAGCCAUAAUUCAGUUCAUAAACUGCGGCGCGCGGGGGGAGAAAUGCCGGGAUGAAUAUUCAUUAGGGAGCGUCCGAACGGCCUCGCGCGGUGAUUCAUUGGCCAUAUGUAAAUAUCACUCACUUUAAUUGCCACUAAACUGACUCAACAUAAUGUUGUCAUUAGCAAAUUAUUACUUAUUUGUGAUACUAAUGGUAAGGUAUGGCGCCUCGUGCUGAAGCUCCACAUAUAUGAUUGCAAUUACAGCUCGUUUUGUUCACCGGGUGACCGCGAGUCAGAUGGAUCCUGCUGCACGUGCGUGCGUGUGUGUGUGUGUGUGUGUGUGUGUGUGUGUGUGUGUGCGUGUGUGUGUGUGUGUGUUUUCACUGACACAUGCACGGAAGAGGAGACAUCCUUUUUGUCUCACGCACAUGCAAUGGAAACUGAACUCGGUGUUUUAGUUGUAUUGUGUAUGAAGGCUCCCUGAUCAUCUGGACUGCCUUUCGAAUUAUUUCUCCUUUAACGUAAAUGUUAGUUUGUUAUUCAGACAUUUUACAACAACAAAACAAUAAAGCCACAAUAACAACAUGUAGAUACAUCUGUGCUUAGGCAAUUAACCACAUCGGAAAAAUAAGACAUAUUCAGAAUAUAAUUAAAAUGUAUAUUUCAUAAAUGAAAAAGAAUGAAAUCCCAGAUUUCUAUAUUUUGGAUACAUCUAAAUUAUUCAGGAAAUGAUAUUAACAAAUCUUUUAAAAGUUCAAAUUUAGCUGAAAUCUGCAUUAAAAACACAAUUUUGAUAAUGCAGAUAAUCAUUUGAUGCUUUGAUAUUUGCAGUCAUGAUCUCCAAAGCGACGCCGCUUUCCAGAAUUGUUUUUUACAUACAUAAUCAUUUGGACAGAAAAAAGAAAACAUUUUGCAUAUAUUAUUACUGAUAUUACUGGCCUGAAAUUGCCAAAUUCCAACACAUCUUGAGUCUGAACUGUGAGCCAAUUGUGAAGAAAAGUUGACCAAUACUUAUGGGAAAAACCCUAAACAGGCUGUUGUGUAACCAUGUUUGCAUUCUCCCUAAAUCUCCUCAAAGGAACCCUUAAAAGUGACUAUUUUUUGUGUGAUUUAGGGAUUAAUGAUUCUUUGCAGAAUCACAUUGAGAUUUAAUCACAUACACGCAGAAAGAAAACAAAGCGUCAGCUC
ensembl:lncRNA